rnacentral:rRNA from 1 species
AGUGAACGCUGGCGGUAGGCCUAACACAUGCAAGUCGAACGGCAGCACAGUAAGAGCUUGCUAUUACGGGUGGCGAGUGGCGUACGGGUGAGGAAUACAUCGGACUCUACUUUUUCGUGGGGGAGAACGUAGGGAAACUUACGCUAAUACCGCAUACGACCUACGGGUGAAAGCAGGGGAUCUUCGGACCUUGCGCGAUUGAAUGAGCCGAUGUCGGAUUAGCUAGUUGGCGGGGUAAAGGCCCACCAAGGCGACGAUCCGUAGCUGGGCUGAGAGGAGGAGCCGCCACACUGGAACUGAGAGACGGACCAGACUCCUACGGGAGGCAGCAGUGGGGAGUAUUGGACAAUGGGCGAAAGCCUGAUCCAGCCAGACCGCGUGGGUGAAGAAGGCCUUCGGGUUGUAAAGCCCUUUUGUUGGGAAGGAAAGCAGCAGGUUAAUACCCCGCUGUUCUGACGGUACCCAAAGAAUAAGCACCGGCUAACUUCGUG